AGCUUUGUGCAGGGGCAGUAUCAUAGCCAAUGAGGUUUAUCUGAGGCAAAAUUAUUGCUAAUUGAGAAGUGUUCUCUGCCAUUGG
ensembl:snRNA U4 U4 spliceosomal RNA